CGCGAUGAACAUUGCAGUUAGCUUCAUGUUUCAUUUGCUAAAUUGUCUCUAAGCAUCUAAACUACAGAUUAACUAGAAACAAUCUGUAACGACGCACGACCGCUUGUCUAGCAGAUAUGACAGACUACACAAAGUGGGAUCAAGUGAAGUUGAUUACACUAAGGCACAUUCAAACCGGCAACAAUAUGUUGGUCAGCUAGCCAAUACCAAAGGAUCUGAUACGGAAGGCCGAAAAGGACCCCACCAACAAACAGACACACUGAUGUUCACUGUUUGCUUCUUAACAUAAAUAUAUAUCUUAUGAUGAAUAUUUGUUAGGACAUGCGGUGCAUAAAAUGUGCUUUAGCAUUGAUUCCAGAAUAUAUGCUUUAUUAUAAGAUUAGUUAUACUACCCAGUAUGAAGCACCAACUCUGUGAAUCGAAUUUGCUAGAACAAAGAACGAACGAAAUCCAUUAACGCCCAAAUAUUUUUAUGGUUUAGUCGCAUCGUUUGAACAAGGCUAUACUAACAGGGAAGACCCGAUAACCGAGGCGAAGUCAUUCUGCUACACCACAACGCCUGUUUGCACGAGGCAAAGGUUGUGAGAAGCGUUUUGUAGAGAGUCAAGUAAGAGCUUCCUUGGCGCCUAUAUUAUUCUUGGAAAUUCACGUCUACGGCUUACCGUCUGUUCUGAUCACUGGCGAAUAAAGUUAAUAACUGACGUUUGACAAUGGAAAGAACGUUAAAAACUGAGUAGAGGAGUCACUUAGCAUCUGAGCUGAACGUUAUCUGAAGAAAUUAAACAAGUCAAUCAGUUUCCAGAUGAGGAAAAAUCGUAUAAAAUGAUGUGUAUAAAACCGUUUUCGUGAUCAUAAUAUAUUGCUAAAACUCGAAUGAGAUUUUGCCUUUUAAUAUAACAAUGACUAUGCAACAGAAAGGUUUAAGGUCAACGCACUGAAGCCAAAAAUUCGUUUAACUCUAAGAACGCCUAAUAUAACGGAAUAUAGUAAUUCAUGAAAAUAUAGAAAAAAUUUGUAUCUAGUUUUCCGUAGCCUGUUUUAUUAUCAUCCGAUAAUAGUCAACAUUUGUAAAUUAUUCUUAAGUGUAUAUUGGGCUAGUCGGAAAGUUAUGGCGGUUUUUCAGGUGCUCUUUUUUAUAUCAGACCGUUGUAAUUUUGUGGCGUGCCGAAUAGAACUUUAUCCGGAGUUCAGAUUAAAAUGAUGGAGAUUUGUGACAGAAAGUGCACUUUCGACAUCUGCUACAUUUUACCUUUUACCAAAGUCAAAAAGCUAGCGAAGCACUUCGAGGAACCCACGCUCGAAUCAGUUGCCAAGUUUAAAGGUAAGAUCUUGGAUCUGAAAAAUGCAUCUGACAACCUGUAAAAUCACGAACAGCAUGUAUUGAAGAGGCUCGAUUAUUAUCAGGGAUCUUACAUGUACGAAAUUUUAUUAAAAUUAAAAAUUUAAGUGUACCAUAAGUUAGACAAAGUGCAUGAAAAAACAUAGCUUUUCAUUGUCUCUCAUCAUCUCGCCUGUCACCAAGUAAGACAAGCACAACAAUAGGUUUCAUACAGAUGACGAGCAGUAGCGCCGCUAUGUCCUUGGGGAGUAGAGAAAUUAAGGGGUGAGUACAGCUAACUCUAGAGUUAAAUCUGUAAAAAAAAAAAAGCUCACGAUGUAUGUUUGGUGGGACUGACUGUACAGGUCCCAUACAGUGGUCGAUACUUGAGAAGAAUACGAUGAUCGACAAGAAUUUAUAUUAGGUAUAUCAAGAAUAUCAGAUUGCCUGAAAGACCCCAUAGACAAGGCAAACACACCUUUCUCCAUGACAACGCCAAAUUUCACAUAGUGAAAAUCAUCAAAGCGCCAUUGCAACAGGCCCACCAUAUUUUUAAACUUCAGUUUCACGCAUCGUUACCUAUCCUAGUCACUGGUAAAUUCAAGUCAUAGCAGUACAUUUGACAGUGUAGAGAGUUUUUAGAACUAGAGAAUUUUAGCUAGCGGAAUGAAUAAAUAAAUAAAUAGUUGAGAGAUAGAACAAUCUUGCAGAGAGUGUUGGCUAAUAUAUGCUGAGUAAAUUUUUGCGAAAGUCGAGUGAAAUGCCGCGUCUUUAGUUACUUUCUUCAUUCAAAACCGCCAUUAUUCUUAUAUAACAAAAUUUACAUUCCUAUAUAUCUCAGACAGCUCGCUAGAUAACUCACACAAAACCCUGAUGAACAGUUUUUGUCGGUAACUAUAUUUCCGUAAUGCAUUUGAGACUUUACGUCAAUGACCUUGCUAGGUCGUUUGUAACUGUAUCAUACAAUAACCAUUCGUAGACGUUUUACUAAGAGCGGUUUGCAUAGCAACUCGAAAACGCUAGGCAUCAAAAGCACUUGGUUCUAGUAUGAAACAAUUAGUUAUUACACCACAGUGCUUUUUUCGAUGCUCAGUGUCUUCAGCAUUCCGUUAUUUGUUGUCGACCUAACGACUUUGUUUUGCCUUUUGCCCGGCUAACAUAUUUGGAAAUCGUCAAAACCAAAUGAGCGGCUGUACAGGAUGCUCGAGCCAGAGAAGGCGGCGACGGAUGUGGCGG